UCUAUCAUGAAUUUGGUUGCUUUGUUUAUCCCUAAAUAAGCGUAUCUUUCUCCAUGUCACCAUACUGGAGGUCUUCUUGAUCCCUGCCUCAAGAAAUGAGUUGACAUCAGAAGGUCAUCUAUGAUGAACUAUUAACUGAGAAUAUUUGGAGAGCAGAAGGAAAAUGAUAACCAUGGAUUUUUGUGAUAAGAGGAGCCAUUCUGAAUGAGGCAUCAAUUGAGUUGAGACUCACACAAAAGAAAAAUCUCCCUUUGCAGACACCAGGAAGUCUGAAACUGAUUCCAUCUGGUUUGUCUGUGAUGUAUAACAUUACUGGGUCAUUAGUCUUUGCCUUUGCUCAAAGCUAACUCUAGCAUCUGGACUGGCAAUGUCAGAGCCCUCACAGGCAUCCCCACACCAACAAUUCUGUAGCCCAUGUGGGAGAAGACCUUUGACUUCAAAGGCUGAAAGAGAAUCAAUAAAAAACCUUUUGGCUC